AGGAUCAACGCUGGCGGCGUGCAUGAGACAUGCAAGUCGAACGGACACUCAGGGCUUGCUCUGAGUGUUAGUGGCGGACGGCUGAGUAACGCGUAGGUGACCUGCCCCGAAGUGGGGAAUAACUGCCCGAAAGGGUGGCUAAUACCGCAUGUGGUGAUGCGUUCAUUCGCAUCAGUAAAGCCGCAAGGCGCUUCGGGAGGGGCCUGCGUCCGAUUAGCUCGUUGGCGAGGUAACGGCUCACCAAGGCGACGAUCGGUAGGUGGUCUGAGAGGACGAUCACCCAGACUGGGACUGAGACACGGCCCAGACUCCUACGGGAGGCAGCAGUCGGGAAUUUUGCGCAAUGGACGAAAGUCUGACGCAGCAACGCCGCGUGAGGGAUGGAAGGCCUUCGGGUUGUAAACCUCUUUCUCAGGGAAGAUAAUGACGGUACCUGAGGAAUAAGCCACGGCUAACUACGUGCCAGCAGCCGC
rnacentral:rRNA from 1 species